rnacentral:rRNA from 1 species
CCUACGGUGCAGCUGCAGUGGGGAAUAUUGGACAAUGGGCGAAAGCCUGAUCCAGCCAUGCCGCGUGUGUGAAGAAGGCCUUCGGGUUGUAAAGCACUUUCAGUGGGGAAGAAAGCCUUGGGGCUAAUACCCUCGAGGAAGGACAUCACCCACAGAAGAAGCACCGGCUAACUCCGUGCCAGCAGCCGCGGUAAUACGGAGGGUGCGAGCGUUAAUCGGAAUUACUGGGCGUAAAGCGCGCGUAGGCGGUCUGAUAAGCCGGUUGUGAAAGCCCCGGGCUCAACCUGGGAACGGCAUCCGGAACUGUCAGGCUAGAGUGCAGGAGAGGAAGGUAGAAUUCCCGGUGUAGCGGUGAAAUGCGUAGAGAUCGGGAGGAAUACCAGUGGCGAAGGCGGCCUUCUGGACUGACACUGACGCUGAGGUGCGAAAGCGUGGGUAGCAAACAGGAUUAGAUACCCGGGUAGUC